GCCCAGAUGUUGAAACUGGUAGACAAUCCACACUUAAACUGUGGUGACCAUUUGGUCGUGCGGGUUCGACUCCCGCUCUGGGUA
rnacentral:tRNA from 1 species